UUCCCUCAGUAACGGCGAGUGAAGCGGGAACAGCCCAGCGCCGAAUCCCCCGGCGUACAGCCGGCGGGAACUGUGGCGUUUAGGACAGCCCCUGCCGGGCCGCACGGUCGCCCAAGUCCUCCUGAUCGGGGCCUUUCCCACAGUGGGUGUUAGGCCUGUACUGGCGACCGUCGGUCCUGCCCGGAGCGUCCUGGGAGUCGGGUUGCUUGUGAUUGCAGCCCAAAGUGGGUGGUAAACUCCAUCUAAGGCUAAAUACAACACGAGUCCGAUAGCGAACAAGUACCGUGAGGGAAAGUUGAAAAGAACUUUGAAGAGAGAGUUCAAUAGUACGUGAAACCGCUCAGAGGCAAACGGGUGGAACCGCAAAGUCGACCCGCAGGAUUCAACCCGGCGGACAGGCUGCGGACGGAGAGGCCGCGGAUCCCUAGGACCGACUCUUCGUUCGGCGGCCGUCCACGGGYGCACUUUCUGCGGGGAGAGCGCCACGACCGGUUGAGCGGCGGCGAUAAGCCCGUCGGGUGGGUAGCGUCUCGUUCGCGGGACGUGAUGACCCGGCGCGGCGCACGCCUGCCGCGCGACCGAGGAUCGACACCGCGCCCGCCACACGGCACGGGCCCGCGGCCUCCUCGGCGAGACCAAGCUGGGUGGACUGGCGUCAGUGCUCCCUAACCGCUCGUCGUCUAGGACCGCGUCGGCUCCCGUAGGGCGCCCUGGGUCAGUGGCGAUUCGGUCGGCCCUCUACCCGACCCGUCYUGAAACACGGACCAAGGAGUCUAACAUGUGCGCGAGUCAUGGGGCUCUACGAAACCUAAAGGCGCAAUGAAAGUGAAGGCCGCUUCCGSUGGCUGAGGUGAGAUCCCGGCCCGCGGGUCGGGCGCAUCACCGGCCCGUCUCGUCCGCAUCGUCGGUGAGGCGGAGCAAGAGCGUACACGUUGGGACCCGAAAGAUGGUGAACUNUGCCUGAGUAGGACGAAGCCAGAGGAAACUCUGGUGGAAGUCCGUAGCGAUUCUGACGUGCAAAUCGAUCGUCAAACUUGGGUAUAGGGGCGAAAGACUAAUC
rnacentral:rRNA from 1 species